CAUUGAGCCCACAGCGAGGUUCAGGACGACGAAUGGAGUCCAAUGAGCUCAAGAAUAGCUCAAACAGAGUCCAGACGGUGAAGAUACAUAUGAAAGUAGGCUCAGAGCGGUGGCAUGGCGCAUAAGGCGGCGGCAGGCCGACGAGGGCCGGCGGCGGCUCUGCUGGGCCCGAUGGAGACGUGCGCGUGCAUGGGUCCAAUGCGGCCGUGCGCAUGGGCUGG
rnacentral:lncRNA from 1 species